UACAGAGGGUGCAAGCGUUAAUCGGAAUUACUGGGCGUAAAGCGCGCGUAGGUGGUUUGUUAAGUUGGAUGUGAAAUCCCCGGGCUCAACCUGGGAACCGCAUUCAAAACUGACAAGCUAGAGUAUGGUAGAGGGUGGUGGAAUUUCCUGUGUAGCGGUGAAAUGCGUAGAUAUAGGAAGGAACACCAGUGGCGAAGGCGACCACCUGGACUGAUACUGACACUGAGGUGCGAAAGCGUGGGGAGCGAACAGG
rnacentral:rRNA from 1 species